CUCCUUGGAAUACAUGAAAAUGAAGCAAAUGACAAGAAAAUCUUCUUACCUGGUAGAUAUCAGAAAGACUGCUGCUUCCAGAAUCACUAGUGAUACUACAUCCUGAAUGGCUAGAAGAAACGUGGGUCACCUGUGGGUGGAGACUGCCAGUACGGUGUAGUUUUGUGAAAUCUACAAGAAGCUAUGGAAGGAGCAGGAAAAACUAGGACUACAACUUGAAUCAGAUCUCCAAGAAGACAUUUUAAAAUUAAGAUAUUAUAUUCUAUUCCAUACCACUAAGCCAAAAAUGUUAUUAGAAUAAGCCUCCUGAGGGAGAUGAUUCAGGUUUAUGACAAUGAUCAAUGGGUUUUGAAACCUCAAAGCUUCAAACAAACAGGACUUUCUUGUUAGAAUCCAUCAUCUGAUCAUCUUUGCUGACUAAGAAUUCACUGUGUGGACAACACUGGGAGCUGACAGAGCUUCAAACCUAAUAGAAGGGACCUGCAUCCAGCCUUUAUACACCAAUUCUAGGGAACUGAGAAAGUUAUGGACAACAUUUACUGAUCUCUACACACAUAUAUAAAUAUCAGUUUUCUACUUGUUCAUGUAUAAAUAAAACUAUCCUUCUAUUAAAUAAACAGAUUUG